UACAGAGGUGGCAAGCGUUGUUCGGAAUUACUGGGCGUAAAGGGCGCGUAGGCGGCCCACUAAGUCAGACGUGAAAUCCCCCGGCUUAACCGGGGAACUGCGUCUGAUACUGGAUGGCUUGAGUUUGGGAGAGGGAUGCGGAAUUCCAGGUGUAGCGGUGAAAUGCGUAGAUAUCUGGAGGAACACCGGUGGCGAAGGCGGCAUCCUGGACCAACACUGACGCUGAGGAGCGAAAGCCAGGGGAGCAAACGGG
rnacentral:rRNA from 1 species